rnacentral:rRNA from 1 species
CUCGAGCGGCGAACGGGUGAGUAACACGUGAGUAAUCUGCCCUUGGCUUUGGGAUAACUACCGGAAACGGUGGCUAAUACCGAAUACGACCACUCCUUGCAUGAGGUGGUGGUGGAAAGUUUUUUCGGCCAGGGAUGUGCUCGCGGCCUAUCAGCUUGUUGGUGGGGUAAUGGCCUACCAAGGCUUCGACGGGUAGCCGGCCUGAGAGGGUGACCGGCCACACUGGGACUGAGACAUGGCCCAGACUCCUACGGGAGGCAGCAGUGGGGAAUAUUGGGCAAUGGGCGGAAGCCUGAUCCAGCAACGCCGCGUGAGGGAUGACGGCCUUCGGGUUGUAAACCUCUUUCAGUACCGACGAAGCGCCGAUGAUGGUGGUGACGGUAGGUACAGAAGAAGCACCGGCCAACUACGUG